rnacentral:rRNA from 1 species
CAGCAGCCGCGGGAAUACGUAGGUGGCAAGCGUUGUCCGGAAUUUUUGGGCGUAAAGGGCUCGCAGGCGGUUUCUUAAGUCUGAUGUGAAAGCCCCCGGCUCAACCGGGGAGGGUCAUUGGAAACUGGGAAACUUGAGUGCAGAAGAGGAGAGUGGAAUUCCACGUGUAGCGGUGAAAUGCGUAGAGAUGUGGAGGAACACCAGUGGCGAAGGCGACUCUCUGGUCUGUAACUGACGCUGAGGAGCGAAAGCGUGGGGAGCGAACAGGAUUAGAUACCCGAGUAGUCCCUGUCUCUUAUAA